rnacentral:rRNA from 1 species
UGCAAGUCGAGGGGCAGCAUAAAUUACUUGUAAUUUGAUGGCGACCGGCGAACGGGUGCGUAACGCGUAUGCAACUUACCUUUUACUAGAGAAUAGCCAAGAGAAAUUUUGAUUAAUGCUCUAUGUUCUUAUUUACUCGCAUGAGUAAAUAAGCAAAGCUCCGGCGGUAAAAGAUGGGCAUGCGUCCUAUUAGCUUGUAGGUGAGGUAAUGGCUCACCUAAGCUCCGAUAGGUAGGGGUCCUGAGAGGGAGAUCCCCCACACUGGUACUGAGACACGGACCAGACUUCUACGGAAGGCAGCAGUAAGGAAUAUUGGACAAUGGAGGCAACUCUGAUCCAGCCAUGCCGCGUGAAGGAAGACGGCCUUAUGGGUUGUAAACUUCUUUUAUACAGGAAGAAACCUUUCCACGUGUGGAAAGCUGACGGUACUGUAAGAAUAAGGAUCGGCUAACUCCGUGCCAGCAGCCGCGGUAAUACGGAGGAUCCAAGCGUUAUCCGGAAUUAUUGGGUUUAAAGGGUCCGCAGGCUGUUUGUUAAGUCAGAGGUGAAAUCCUACCGCUCAACGGUAGAACUGCCUUUGAUACUGGCAAACUUGAGUUAUUGUGAAGUAGUUAGAAUGUGUAGUGUAGCGGUGAAAUGCAUAGAUAUUACACAGAAUACCGAUUGCGAAAGCAGAUUACUAACAAUAUACUGACGCUGAGGGACGAAAGCGUGGGUAGCGAACAGGAUUAGAUACCCUGGUAGUCCACGCCGUAAACGAUGGUCACUAGCUGUUCGAUGUACAUUGGUACGUUGAGUGGCUAAGCGAAAGUGAUAGUGACCCAUCUGGGGAGUACGCUCGCAGAGUGAACUCAAGAUUGACGGGGCCGCACAGCGUGAGCAUGUGUUUAUUCGAUGAUACGCGAGACUUACAGGACUAAUGUAGUGCAUGAUCAGAAUGAU